rnacentral:rRNA from 1 species
GACGAACGCUGGCGGCGUGCUUAACACAUGCAAGUCGAACGGAAAGGCCCUGCUUUUGUGGGGUGCUCGAGUGGCGAACGGGUGAGUAACACGUGAGUAACCUGCCCUUGACUUUGGGAUAACUUCAGGAAACUGGGGCUAAUACCGGAUAGGAGCUCCUGCUGCAUGGUGGGGGUUGGAAAGUUUCGGCGGUUGGGGAUGGACUCGCGGCUUAUCAGCUUGUUGGUGGGGUAGUGGCUUACCAAGGCUUUGACGGGUAGCCGGCCUGAGAGGGUGACCGGCCACAUUGGGACUGAGAUACGGCCCAAACUCCUACGGGAGGCAGCAGUGGGGAAUAUUGCACAAUGGGCGGAAGCCUGAUGCAGCAACGCCGCGUGCGGGAUGACGGCCUUCGGGUUGUAAACCGCCUUCGCCUGUGACGAAGCGUGAGUGACGGUAAUGGGUAAAGAAGCACCGGCUAACUACGUG